rnacentral:lncRNA from 1 species
GGCAAACUGAACAAUGUGAGGAAAUGCUGGUGACACCAUAUGGCCUGGAAUAAAAGCACGACGAAACUGUUUGUUCCUGAAGCCACUGAGCUCAGCUGCUCCGUCAGGCUGGUUUACCGGCCAGCCAUGGCACCCUGCUCCAUGUUUCCGGGCGUCCUUUCUUCCUCAUCUUACUCUGAGACCCAGAACAAUCCAUCCAGCUGUCUCCUGCGUGUCACCAUCGCCACACGCAGACCCGCAGUCCCCUCAAGCCCUCACGUGGGAACUCAGCUUGGUCACCUCCACUCUGCCCUGCCCCCAGGCCCUCCACGGUGGCCCCCGUCUCUGCCGUUCCCCGUGUCACCCUCCGCGCUCCCCACCCCUUGGAGCCAUCCCCAGCUCCUCUCACAGUCCCAUUCAGUCUGUCAACAAAUCCUGUUAGCUCCCCCUGCAGAGUGUUUCCAGAAUCCCCCAUCACCACCGCUCCCAAUCCCCAGUCCCCAAGCAAACUGCUGGUCAUCUCUCUGUCACUGCAGGUUCGUUUGCAUUUUCUCGCCUCUUACAUAAACU